rnacentral:rRNA from 1 species
AGGAUGAACGCUGGCGGCGUGCUUAACACAUGCAAGUCGAACGGUGAAGUGAGGAGCUUGCUCCUUGCGGAUCAGUGGCGAACGGGUGAGUAACACGUGAGUAACCUGCCCUUGACUCUGGGAUAAGCACUGGAAACGGUGUCUAAUACCGGAUACGACCUCCGAAGGCAUCUUCUGGAAGUGGAAAGAAUUUCGGUCAAGGAUGGACUCGCGGCCUAUCAGCUAGUUGGUGAGGUAACGGCCCACCAAGGCGACGACGGGUAGCCGGCCUGAGAGGGUGACCGGCCACACUGGGACUGAGACACGGCCCAGACUCCUACGGGAGGCAGCAGUGGGGAAUAUUGCACAAUGGGCGCAAGCCUGAUGCAGCAACGCCGCGUGAGGGACGACGGCCUCGGUUGUAACCUCUUUAGUAGGAAGAAGCGAAGUGACGGUACCUGCAGAAAAGCACCGGCUAACUACGCGCCAGCAGCCGCGGU